rnacentral:rRNA from 1 species
UACGUAGGGACCAAGCGUUGUUCGGAUUUACUGGGCGUAAAGGGCGCGUAGGCGGCGAAUCAAGUCAGCUGUGAAAUCUCCGAGCUUAACUCGGAACGGUCAGCUGAUACUGUUUUGCUAGAGUGCAGAAAGGGCAACCGGAAUUCUUGGUGUAGCGGUGAAAUGCGUAGAUAUCAAGAGGAACACCUGAGGCGAAGGCGGGUUGCUAGGCUGACACUGACGCUGAAGCGCGAAAGCUAGGGUAGCGAACGGG